ensembl:snRNA U1 U1 spliceosomal RNA
GUUCUUACCUGGCAGAGGAGAUAACAUGAUCACGAAGGUGGUUUUCCCAGGGCGAGGUUUAUCCAUUGCACUCUGGAUGUGCUGACCCCUGUGAUUUCACCAAAAGCGCGAAACUCGACUGCAUAAUUUGUGGUAGUGGGGGACUGCAUUCAUGCUUUCCCCUA